rnacentral:lncRNA from 1 species
UGAAUAAUUAUGUGCUAAACUGUUUUAGCAGUUCACAGGGGGAGCACUCGAAGCCUAAUGCUUUUGAAAUUUUAUGUUUUCCUGUGAAAAUGAUUUUCACUGGAGUCAAGCUUUAAAAUAUGAAGGCAUUGUUUUAGCAGGUUUUUAAGUGGAAAUUAAUUUGAAUAUCUCGAAUCCAAUGUUUUAAACUCACUCAAACAAAGAAACUUGGUAAAACUUGCGUUGGUUUUAAUAAUUUUCGUAGUGUUAAGUGAAAGUUAUAAAGGAUUUUGCAGCUUAAAAACAUCAGACUUUGUUUCUGAACAAUUCUGGGCAUAAAAACCAUUCGCACGAUUAUCGCACGAUUUUAAUUUUUCGCUGCGUUUCAUACUUAUUUGCUUUUUAGAUACAUUUUUAGGUGCUCUAAGGAUUUUGAGGAAUUACAUAUGAGUGAUCUUCAUAUUUGGAUAUUAUUUAUGAAGUUGUUAUCGGUGCUUAAUGUGAAUAAUUAUGUGCUAAACUGUUUUAGCAGUUCACAGGGGGAGCACUCGAAGCCUAAUGCUUUUGAAAUUUUAUGUUUUCCUGUGAAAAUGAUUUUCACUGGAGUCAAGCUUUAAAAUAUGAAGGCAUUGUUUUAGCAGGUUUUUAAGUGGAAAUUAAUUUGAAUAUCUCGAAUCCAAUGUUUUAAACUCACUCAAACAAAGAAACUUGGUAAAACUUGCGUUGGUUUUAAUAAUUUUCGUAGUGUUAAGUGAAAGUUAUAAAGGAUUUUGCAGCUUAAAAACAUCAGACUUUGUUUCUCAACAAUUUCAGGCAUAAAACCAUUCGCACGAUUAUCGCACGAUUUUUAAUUUUUCGCUGUGUUUCAUACUUAUUUGCUUUUUAGAUACAUUUUUAGGUGCUCUAAGGAUUUUGAGGAAUUACAUAUGAGUGAUCUUCAUAUUUGGAUAUUAUUUAUGAAGUUGUUAUCGGUGCUUAAUGUGAAUAAUUAUGUGCUAAACUGUUUUAGCAGUUCACAGGGGGAGCACUCGAAGCCUAAUGCUUUUGAAAUUUUAUGUUUUCCUGUGAAAAUGAUUUUCACUGGAGUCAAGCUUUAAAAUAUGAAGGCAUUGUUUUAGCAGGUUUUUAAGUGGAAAUUAAUUUGAAUAUCUCGAAUCCAAUGUUUUAAACUCACUCAAACAAAGAAACUUGGUAAAACUUGCGUUGGUUUUAAUAAUUUUCGUAGUGUUAAGUGAAAGUUAUAAAGGAUUUUGCAGCUUAAAACAUCAGACUUUGUUUCUGAACAAUUCUGGGCAUAAAAACCAUUCGCACGAUUAUCGCACGAUUUUAAUUUUUCGCUGCGUUUCAUACUUAUUUGCUUUUUAGAUACAUUUUUAGGUGCUCUAAGGAUUUUGAGGAAUUACAUAUGAGUGAUCUUCAUAUUUGGAUAUUAUUUAUGAAGUUGUUAUCGGUGCUUAAUGUGAAUAAUUAUGUGCUAAACUGUUUUAGCAGUUCACAGGGGGAGCACUCGAAGCCUAAUGCUUUUGAAAUUUUAUGUUUUCCUGUGAAAAUGAUUUUCACUGGAGUCAAGCUUUAAAAUAUGAAGGCAUUGUUUUAGCAGGUUUUUAAGUGGAAAUUAAUUUGAAUAUCUCGAAUCCAAUGUUUUAAGCUCACUCAAACAAAGAAACUCGGCAAAACUUGCGUUGGUUUUCAUAAUUUUCGUAGUGUUAAGUGAAAGUUAUAAAGGAUUUUGCAGCUUAAAAACAUCAGACUUUGUUUCUGAACAAUUCUGGGCAUAAAAACCAUUCGCACGAUUAUCGCACGAUUUUAAUUUUUCGCUGCGUUUCAUACUUAUUUGCUUUUUAGAUACAUUUUUAGGUGCUCUAAGGAUUUUGAGGAAUUACAUAUGAGUGAUCUUCAUAUUUGGAUAUUAUUUAUGAAGUUGUUAUCGGUGCUUAAUGUGAAUAAUUAUGUGCUAAACUGUUUUAGCAGUUCACAGGGGGAGCACUCGAAGCCUAAUGCUUUUGAAAUUUUAUGUUUUCCUGUGAAAAUGAUUUUCACUGGAGUCAAGCUUUAAAAUAUGAAGGCAUUGUUUUAGCAGGUUUUUAAGUGGAAAUUAAUUUGAAUAUCUCGAAUCCAAUGUUUUAAACUCACUCAAACAAAGAAACUUGGUAAAACUUGCGUUGGUUUUAAUAAUUUUCGUAGUGUUAAGNN